CACAGCUGGAAGCCUGGCAUGAGAAAGGCAAAUACAAAGGCAGAAAUAGGAGGAUCAAACAGAAGUGUUUUGAAAAAGGAGAGAGUAGGUAGAAAUAAGAAGUGAUCCUUUCUAGUCUGCAGGUUCCCCAGGCCAGGAACCUUAUCCACCUCUGUGACUGCAUGCUGUCCUUCUCAGCUGGGAUCUGACUCCUGAGAACUAAUGCUCCUGAAAGAAGCCAGGGUGUGGAGUGGGAGGAGAGAUGACAAGACCAUAUGGGCUUAUUUACUACUCACAGAGGAGUUCAAGCAUUUCUGUGCCUGCUCUAAGUAUUGUGGAAUGUUGCUAACAAUUGUAAAUAAUUUUAUGCU
rnacentral:lncRNA from 1 species